rnacentral:rRNA from 1 species
GACGAACGCUGGCGGCGUGCUUAACACAUGCAAGUCGAACGGAAAGGCCCUGCUUUUGUGGGGUGCCCGAUUGGCGAACGGGUGAGUAACACGUGAGUAACCUGCCCUUGACUUUGGGAUAACUUCAGGAAACGGGGGCUAAUACCGGAUAGCAGCUCCUGCUGCAUGGUGGGGGUUGGAAAUUUUCGGCGGGUGGGGAUGGACUCGCGGCUUAUCAGCUUGUUGGUGGGGUAGUGGCUGACCAAGGCUUUGACGGGUAGCCGGCCUGAGAGGGUGACCGGCCACAUUGGGACUGAGAUACGGCCCAGACUCCUACGGGAGGCAGCAGUGGGGAAUAUUGCACAAUGGGCGGAAGCCUGAUGCAGCAACGCCGCGUGCGGGAUGACGGCCUUCGGGUUGUAAACCGCUUUCGCCUGUGACGAAGCGUGAGUGACGGUAAUGGGUAAAGAAGCACCGGCUAACUACGUG